rnacentral:tRNA from 1 species
CAAAUUAAAGUUUAAAAAAUAUUUUAUUUACAUUAAAAAGUUAAUUGUUAAAUCAAUUUAAUUUGA